GAAAAACUGGUGUUGUCCGUUUUUAAGAGCAGUAUUUAGGCUAACAAGAAAAGAGAGCAAGAUUAUACUACUACUAGAAACCAAUAUACAGUGAGAAUUAGAUAUGGAAUGGAAAGGAAGUUGACCGUGGUGAUAUCGAUUUGGAGUUUUGAUCAUGUUCAACUAUCAAAGUGGAUUGCGAAUCUCGAGGUAGGCGUGGCUUGCCAUCAAAUGAGUUUCAGAUAACAGGUUUGAUAGCGUUCGCGAAGAUGAUCAAGCUAUUGGAUGAUUCUGCUUUAUUUGUUUUUAUGUAUAUACUGAGUGAAAAUAAAUACACUAUUUUAUAAGUAUCAUUGGAGAGAUGUUGUAUAUAUGUCAGAGAGAGUUUAGUUUUUGGGUUAAUCUUUUUUAGAAUUUCUUUUUAUUGCCUAAAUAGACGUUUU